UGUCCUGUUACACACAAAGCUAAUUGGCUAUAGUUAGCCUGUACGUAUGCUAGCAGACAUAAGAAAGGUAAACACUGCUCAGAGACUUAUAAGACGACGUGGUCCCUCACUACAAUGGGAAUUUUUUAGAGGCCCAUUUACGAUAUAGACAUUAUUAUAUAGAAAGUAAAUAUACACUGGAAUAUUUCUGUAAGGGCCUUUUACAUAUUGACAAACCUUGAUAAUAACAUGUAUAUGCCUGUUUAUGGUGAAAAUUAGCAAUUAAU